rnacentral:misc_RNA from 1 species
AACGCACCUUGCACUCCUUGGUAUUCCGAGGAGUAUGCCUGUUUGAGUGUCAUGAAAUUCUCAACUGCCUUGGCCUUUUGUGCCAAAGUGAAGUUGGAUUUGGAGGUUUUGUUGCUGGCAUGGAGCGUCUGAUUGAUGCUUGCUGUGUUGGCUCCUCCUAAAAGCAUGCAGAGCUUGGCAAAGCGGCGUCCAUGUGAUAAUUAUCUACGUUGUCGUCGAAGUGUGCAGAUCUGCUGUGGGGUGUGACCUUUUUGAACAAUUUGACCUCAAAUCAGGUAGGACUACCCGCUGAACUUAA